GUACCGUGAGGGAAAGGUGAAAAGCACCCCGACAAGGGGAGUGAAAUAGUACCUGAAACUGGAUGCCUACAAACUGUCGGAGCCCGCAAGGGUGACGGCGUACCUUUUGUAUAAUGGGUCAGCGACUUAAUUUAUGUAGCGAGCUUAACCGAAUAGGGGAGGCGCAGGGAAACCGAGUCUUAAUAGGGCGAACAGUUGCUGGGUGUAGACCCGAAACCGAGUGAUC
rnacentral:rRNA from 1 species